AAAUCGCAAUGAUGAAUAAUUAAACAGCUUUAAGCCAGUUCUGCUUCUGAAAAUUCUUGAUUGAUAGAGCUGUCCUUUUUACUCUGAGCCUCUU